UACGGAGGGGGCUAGCGUUGUUCGGAAUUACUGGGCGUAAAGCGCGCGUAGGCGGCUUUGUAAGUUAGAGGUGAAAGCCCGGAGCUCAACUCCGGAACUGCCUUUAAGACUGCAUCGCUAGAAUUGUGGAGAGGUGAGUGGAAUUCCGAGUGUAGAGGUGAAAUUCGUAGAUAUUCGGAAGAACACCAGUGGCGAAGGCGACUCACUGGACACAUAUUGACGCUGAGGUGCGAAAGCGUGGGGAGCAAAUAGG
rnacentral:rRNA from 1 species